AUAUUUUCCUCUUCGCAUUGUUGCAAACAAGCUGCAACACUCUAAGCAAGCCACGAUUAUUCAUUUUUUCUCAAUUACUUUUGCUCCUCACACCCAAGAACACCCACUUUGUCUCUCACUGAAGCUAGCACAGUGAGGCUCAAAGUCUCAGAUUAACUCUUUACCCUUUCUAGCUUAAAACUUAAAAUAAUUUAGAUUUCCAUAUUAAUUUUCAAUUGAUUCAAUAUGUGUCUAUGAUUAGAUCUUUUGGUUCCCUAUAUAUAAUUUUAGAGUUUAGAUUCCUUUCAUCAAAACAAAUUU